GAUGAACGCUAGCGGCAGGCUUAAUACAUGCAAGUCGAGGGGCAACAGGGGUAGCAAUACCUGCUGGCGACCGGCAAACGGGUGCGGAACACGCACAGAACCUUCCUUUAAGCGGGGGAUAGCCCGGAGAAAUCCGGAUUAAUACCCCAUGGUAUUGAUGUGUGGCAUCACAUGUUAAUUAAAGAUUUAUCACUUAAAGAUGGCUGUGCGGCUGAUUAGGGUAGUUGGNGAGGUAAAGGCUCACCAAGCCAGCGAUCAGUAACUGGUGUGAGAGCACGACCAGUCACAC
rnacentral:rRNA from 1 species